CAGUAGCCGCGGUAAAACAGAGGGUGCGAGCGUUAAUCGGAUUUACUGGGCGUAAAGCGUGCGUAGGCGGCUUCUUAAGUCGGAUGUGAAAUCCCUGAGCUUAACUUAGGAAUUGCAUUCGAUACUGGGAAGCUAGAGUAUGGGAGAGGAUGGUAGAAUUCCAGGUGUAGCGGUGAAAUGCGUAGAGAUCUGGAGGAAUACCGAUGGCGAAGGCAGCCAUCUGGCCUAAUACUGACGCUGAGGUACGAAAGCAUGGGGAGCAAACAGGAUUAGAUACCCCUGUAGUCCCUGUCUCUUAUAU
rnacentral:rRNA from 1 species